UACGGGGGGAGCAAGCGUUGUUCGGAUUUACUGGGCGUAAAGGGCGCGUAGGCGGCCACCGCAAGUCAGUUGUGAAAGCUCUGGGCUUAACCCAGAAAGGUCAGCUGAUACUGCGGGGCUAGAGUGCAGAAGGGGCAACUGGAAUUCUCGGUGUAGCGGUGAAAUGCGUAGAUAUCAGGAAGAACACCAAUGGCGAAAGCAGCUUUCUGGGACGGUACUGACGCUGAGACGCGAAAGCGUGGGGAGCGAACAGG
rnacentral:rRNA from 1 species